UACGGAGGAUCCAAGCGUUAUCCGGAUUUAUUGGGUUUAAAGGGUGCGUAGGCGGCUUAUUAAGUCAGGGGUGAAAGACGGUAGCUUAACUAUCGCAGUGCCUUUGAUACUGAUGAGCUUGAAUCUACUUGAGGUAGGCGGAAUGUGACAAGUAGCGGUGAAAUGCAUAGAUAUGUCACAGAACACCAAUUGCGAAGGCAGCUUACUAAAAGUAGCAUUGACGCUGAGGCACGAAAAGCGUGGGGAUCAAACAGG
rnacentral:rRNA from 1 species